UGGGGAAUUUUGGACAAUGGGCGAAAGCCUGAUCCAGCAAUGCCGCGUGUGUGAAGAAGGCCUUCGGGUUGUAAAGCACUUUUGUCCGGAAAGAAAUCCUUGGCUCUAAUACAGUCGGGGGAUGACGGUACCGGAAGAAUAAGCACCGGCUAACUACGUGCCAGCAGCCGCGGUAAUACGUAGGGUGCAAGCGUUAAUCGGAAUUACUGGGCGUAAAGCGUGCGCAGGCGGUUUGCUAAGACCGAUGUGAAAUCCCCGGGCUCAACCUGGGAACUGCAUUGGUGACUGGCAGGCUAGAGUAUGGCAGAGGGGGGUAGAAUUCCACGUGUAGCAGUGAAAUGCAUAGAGAUGUGGAGGAAUACCGAUGGCGAAGGCAGCCCCCUGGGCCAAUACUGACGCUCAUGCACGAAAGCGUGGGGAGCAAACAGGAUUAGAUACCCUGGUAGUCCACGCCCUAAACGAUGUCAACUAGUUGUUGGGGAUUCAUUUCCUUAGUAACGUAGCUAACGCGUGAAGUUGACCGCCUGGGGAGUACGGUCGCAAGAUUAAAACUCAAUGAAUUGACGGGGUCAUAGCUG
rnacentral:rRNA from 1 species